rnacentral:rRNA from 1 species
AUGGCGAUGGAGCAGUUCGUCCUGUUCAUCUUCAUGUGUUGUCUGUCCUCCCGCUUCGCUGAUGCGUAUGAUCCGGUGGAUCCAAACGGGAACAUCACCAUCAACUGGGAUUUUCCGUCCAUCGAGCCCAAUGUGUACGCGGUCAAGGUGAGCAUCCACAAUUACCAGCUGUACCGCCACAUCGAGCGCCCGGGGUGGCGGCUGAGCUGGGUGUGGGCCGGCCACGAGUUCAUCUCGACCGUGAUCGGCGCGGAGACGACGGAGCAGGGCAACUGCACCGGCCGCCACGGCGCCAACGGCGCCCCUCCGCAUUGCUGCGAGAAGCAACCGGUCAUGAUGGACCUGCUGCCGGGCGCGCCGUACAACAGGCAGUCCGCCAACUGCUGCCGCGGCGGCGUGCUGUCGUCCGUCACGCAGAACAACAGGACGGCCACCUCGCAGUUCGAGAUGUAUAUCACCAAUUUCGCCCUCGACGAGCACGGCGACCCCAAGAUGCCGACCACCUUCAGCAUCGGCGUGCCGGGCUACACCUGCAGCAACGCCACCAACGUGCCGGCGACGAGGUCCAAGGUCCUGGCGGCGCUGCCUGACGCCGACGGCGCUCCGCCCGUGCCAGUCAUCCGGUGCACGGAGCACAUGUGCCCGAUCCGGGUGCACUGGCACGUGAAGCAGAGCUACCGGGGGUACUGGAGGGUGAAGGUGGCGGUGACGAACUACGACGUCGUCAGCAACUACACCGACUGGAACCUGGUGGUGCAGCACCCCAACCUCCGGAGCCUGACGCAACUUUUCAGCUUCAACUACCAGCCCCUCAUCCAGUACGGCACGAUCAAUGACACGGGGAUGUUCUGGGGAAUCAAGAACUACAACGAGAUGCUGCUGGGUGACGGGAACGUGCAGACCGAGAUGAUACUGGAGAAAGACCCGAGCGACUUCACCUUCUCGGGGGGCUGGGCGUUCCCGAGGAGGGUCUACUUCAAUGGACACGAGUGCGUCAUGCCGCCGCCGGAUCAGUACCCUUCGCUGCCCAAUGCGGCCUGGGACGUGCGUGUCUCGGCGGUGCAGCGGUGGCUGGUCGCCGGCUCUUGUCUGCUCUCGUUGUCUAUGUUGUUUCUCGUGUAA